AGAAUCAACGCUGGCGGCGUGCCUAACACAUGCAAGUCGAACGCGACUUGGACUUCGGUCUAAGUUGAGUGGCGAACGGGUGAGUAACACGUGGGUGACCUACCUUCGAGUGGGGGAUAACGUCCCGAAAGGGACGCUAAUACCGCAUAACAUCCUGCCUUUGAACAGGUGGAGAUCAAAGCCGGGGAUCGCAAGACCUGGCGCUUGAUGAGGGGCCCGCGCCUGAUUAGCUAGUUGGUGAGGUAACGGCUCACCAAGGCGACGAUCAGUA
rnacentral:rRNA from 1 species